CCUACGGGUGGCAGCAGUAGGGAAUAUUGGACAAUGGGGGGAACCCUGAUGCAGCGACGCCGCGUGAGUGAAGAAGUAUUUCGGUAUGUAAAGCUCUAUCAGCAGGGAAGAAAGGAAUGACGGUACCUGACUAAGAAGCCCCGGCUAACUACGUGCCAGCAGCCGCGGUAAUACGUAGGGGGCAAGCGUUAUCCGGAUUUACUGGGUGUAAAGGGAGCGUAGACGGUUACGCAAGUCUGGAGUGAAAGGCGGCGUCUCAACCCCCGAACUGCUUUGGAAACUGUAUAACUGGAGUGCAGGAGAGGUAAGUGGAAUUCUUGGUGUAGCGGUGAAAUGCGUAGAUAUUAGGAGGAACACCAGUGGCGAAGGCGGCUUACUGGACUGUAACUGACGUUGAGGCUCGAAAGCGUGGGGAGCAAACAGGAUUAGAUACCCGAGUAGUC
rnacentral:rRNA from 1 species